AUUUACAUUCACUCCAUACGCUACUAUUUCAACAGUAUUAAUGUUAUGAAAUUACCGGAAACAUGAUCCACCUUUGGUGAUAUUAUUUUACAAGGAAACGUUAACCGAAUCACAUGUGAGAUAUGUUUUUGAAAGUUGUUAAUGCUGUCAUUGUUUUUACGUUCAUACAAACGGUGCAGUGUCAAUAUGAAAAAUUGCCCUUAAAGCCUGACAAAUGUAUGGGCAAUAGCGAUGUUAUGGAUCGCCACUGCUGUAUUUUCCCGCCUUUUUUUUCUCGCGAUGUAUCGCGUGAAUGCGGCGCCAGGUUUUCCAUUCGGGAAAUGAACAGAGCAGCAAAUAUAACCAUCUUGAGACGAGAAUCGAUCAAAGAGUGUGAUUACUGGAAAUGUGUACUCAAUAGAUAUGCAAUGCUAAACCCUGUUGGAACUGUCAAUGAAGAAAGGUUUUAUUCACACCUGGAGAAAUGGACGACGCUAAAUUCGGAGUUCAACACGAUCAUGAUCAGUGCUAAAACUCAUUGCAAGCAAACCUUUAGAAUGCAUACGAUAAAUUAUUGUGAUUUUUUUAACCUGCUGGGCUGUGUUAGAAAUUACAUUAACGUGGACUGUCCCAAAAUAAUAAAUUCAAAGGAAUGCUUUGAAUGGAAGGAAUUUUACGAUGAAUGCCGUGAAUUUUUUAUAUGAAAUCAUCAAGUUUAUUCAUUAAAUUACUUAUGAUAAUUACAAUGCAAUGAACAAACUAUUAUGGUGCC